GUGUGGACACUGGAGGUGAUAGAUUGUUUGCAGAGCUGGCCACGGAGAUACCACAAGGAUCCAAGAACUGUCCAGUUGAAGCCUGCCUGAGCCACAAAGUUGUGAGAAGAAGAUGCAAUGGAUAACUGGUACAUUGGGAAAGAGAACUGUUUUUUCCCACUGAGUACCAUUUUGAGAAGAUGGGGCUACCAGAGCCUGCCAUAUUAAGAAGCUGCCUGAAGAAUAAAACCAAGCAGAGACAAGCAGGACCACAAGAUAAGAGAGACAGAAUUAGAACCAGGAAGAAUAUUAUUUGAGUCUGGCGAAAUUCUAAUCCGCAUAUGAGAUGCAGCUCAUAUGCUGCUACCACUCAGAAGCACCUGUAUUCAUCAGCCCAGCCAUGUUCAUUCCCUCAUUCAUAUCACAAACUCCUCAUGUCUUUAUCAUGACACUCAUUUGCUUAGUACAUAUGUGAUGAGCACUCACCAGGCCCCAGCAGUAUGGACUCCUGAAAUAAAUCUGAUGUUGUUAAGGAUCCCAGAGUCUAGCAGAGGAGAUAUACAGCAAAAAAGUCACAAAAAUCCUGAAGCCGUGAGAGAUCUGUCAAUAAAGGAGAAAAUAGGCUUCCGUGGAAGCAAAAGGGAAAAGCCCACCUCAGACUCCAAGAAAGAGCUGCAGAGACAAAGAUGCUUUGGUGUGGACAUUGUUCUGGAAUCACAGAAAGAAAUGCACAGAGACACA
ensembl:lncRNA